rnacentral:rRNA from 1 species
UGGGGAAUAUUGCACAAUGGGCGCAAGCCUGAUGCAGCCAUGCCGCGUGUGUGAAGAAGGCCUUCGGGUUGUAAAGCACUUUCAGCGGGGAGGAAGGCGAUAAGGUUAAUAACCUCAUCGAUUGACGUUACCCGCAGAAGAAGCACCGGCUAACUCCGUGCCAGCAGCCGCGGUAAUACGGAGGGUGCAAGCGUUAAUCGGAAUUACUGGGCGUAAAGCGCACGCAGGCGGUCUGUCAAGUCGGAUGUGAAAUCCCCGGGCUCAACCUGGGAACUGCAUUCGAGACUGGCAGGCUAGAGUCUUGUAGAGGGGGGUAGAAUUCCAGGUGUAACGGUGAAAUGCGUAGAGAUCUGGAGGAAUACCGGUGGCGAAGGCGGCCCCCUGGACAAAGACUGACGCUCAGGUGCGAAAGCGUGGGGAGCAAACAGG